rnacentral:rRNA from 1 species
UACGUAGGGUGCGAGCGUUGUCCGGAUUUAUUGGGCGUAAAGGGCUCGUAGGCGGCGUGUCGCGUCGGGAGUGAAAGCCCGUUGCUUAACGGCGGGUUGGCUUUCGGUACGGGCAUGCUGGAGUGCGGCAGGGGAGACUGGAAUUCCUGGUGUAGCGGUGGAAUGCGCAGAUAUCAGGAGGAACACCUGCGGUGUAGACGGCUUUCUGGACCAUUGCUGACGCUGAGACACGAAAGCGUGGGUAGCAAACAGG